rnacentral:piRNA from 1 species
UGGUCAGUUUACAGAGAUUGUGCAUUCAUG